UACGUAGGGUGCGAGCGUUGUCCGGAAUUAUUGGGCGUAAAGAGCUCGUAGGCGGUGUGUCGCGUCGGCCGUGAAAACCUGGGGCUUAACUCUGGGCGUGCGGUCGAUACGGGCAUCACUGGAGUUCGGCAGGGGAGACUGGAAUUCCUGGUGUAGCGGUGAAAUGCGCAGAUAUCAGGAGGAACACCGGUGGCGAAGGCGGGUCUCUGGGCCGAUACUGACGCUGAGGAGCGAAAGCAUGGAUAGCGAACAGG
rnacentral:rRNA from 1 species